rnacentral:rRNA from 1 species
CCAGCCGUAAACGAUGCUCGCUAGGUGUCCGGCAUGGCGCGACCGUGUCUGGUGCCGCAGGGAAGCCGUGAAGCGAGCCACCUGGGAAGUACGGCCGCAAGGCUGAAACUUAAAGGAAUUGGCGGGGGAGCACAACAACGGGUGGAGCCUGCGGUUUAAUUGGACUCAACGCCGGACAACUCACCGGGGACGACAGCAAUAUGUAGGCCAGGCUGAAGACCUUGCCUGAAUCGAUGAGAGGAGG